GUAUGUCUUAGAUGGAGAAGCCCUUGGCACAAAGAUCUGUUGUGGCCCGUUAAUUUCCCAUUGAUUUGGUGAGCUAUUGAGAAGAAUGGAGUUUUCUAUGAUUUGGUGAGGAAUAUUUUCCCUUGCAAUGUCUAGAACCGAUUGCUGCUCAAACCAAAUUGUUGCAGCGCAUGGAAGGAUACAAAGUCAUGGGAGGAUACAAUGUCAGAUAUAGAUGAUACACAAGAAAGAUGCAAAUGGAUGCAUUUGGAUUUAGCUGGUUCGAGUAUUAUGAUGUGGCUGGAGCAAUCCACUUGAUUCAUUAUAGUGGUUGAUUCAUUGUAGUGAUUCUUCAGCAGCUGAGUAACAAGCUGUUCUUGGAUUCAGAUUGUCAGUUGUCUUGCUGGUAGGCCUCCAUCAGCUGGUGGCCUCAUUGCUAUUUUAUUUCUCUUGAUUCUAGUUAUCUGCAUCUAUAGGGAGUCAUAGGUGAAUUUAGUUUGGGGUUGACGGUAUCUUUUAAUUUUAAAGGUUGACAUUGAACGUCGAAUUUUGGUUUUGUACCUUUUCUUGAAAUUUUGGAUUUUGGAGAAUAUUAUUUAGCAGGUUGUGUUAUUUUGAGAUUACUGAAAUACAGAGGAGACUUUGUCGUUUUUUUUAUAAAUUUAUGCGGACGUAUUUAUCAUGGCGAAUUGGUUAUAAAUGGGUUAUGUGUAAAAGGCUUGCCGGACUUGGGGUGAUAGUCCGUGCGCCGGUCACGGCUUGGGAUUUUUGGGUCGUGACAAAGUUGGUAUCAGAGCCUUGGCUGUAGGUCCUAUUAGCUGCAGACAUGAGGUAGAGAUAGAAUCUUUCUAGUAAAUGGUGAACCGCGGCACAAUUUACUUUAGAGAUGCUAUUAACGCCUCAUGAGAGUCCUAAAGUUGUUUCCAAGUGUGAUUUGAGUUCGUUCCUCAUUCAUUGUGUUCCGAGUCAUGUCAUAUAUUCCAUGAAUAUUCUGUGUUCAGUGGGGAUGCCACCUAAAUUAGGAUUUUCAUCAUAUGAUGAGUUAACUUAUUAGGACCCUCUCUUAGGAGGUCGUGGUCGGCGUUUUGGUUUAGGCCAAGGACCAUUGCCGGUAGGCACUGGUUGCUCGGUUUUGUAGCCAAUAUUAACGUGCUUAUGUUGAGGUAAUGAAAUACAAGGAUGUCAGAGCUUACAUUUGGUACGAAGGAAUUUUAACAUGAUUUGAAAUAACGUGUUGGACUGGUUGUUGGGCAGCAACAAGGGAACCCACAUAAGAAAAUUUAUGAGCGUCAACUAGAGGUUAGAUAGAGGAAAGUAACAACAAGUAGGUGCCACUAGACAGAUUGAGGUCAUAUUAACUAGUCACAUACAGCUUAAAUCUCCUAAUUUUCUAGUACUAGUGCAAGGCAGAAUCCACAAAGGUUUAUUAAUGCUCUGGAGAAGCUAUAGAGAGCAUUAAGAUGCUCACACUUAAGGGCGGUAAAGUUAAUGUCAUCCAGUUGGAGGAUUGUAGCACAUGAUUGAUCUAAUGACUUUAUGGUACGUGAGCGAUUGGAUCACCUCUGAUAACGUGAACGAAUUUUCCUAGAAACUCAUAAAUCUUUUUCUUCUAAAUUGUUUGAUAUGACUUGACUUAUAAGUUUGAACUGCUGGAGAAAAUUGAUUAUAGUAGAUAAUCUUAAAACUUUAUGUAGAGUCAUAGACUAGAUUUAAGGGGUCCUUACGAUCCAUUUUUCGUCAAAUGCAUUUUUGCAUGAGAUCUACACCUUGUUUUGCUUGUCAAAAGAUCAUCAUGUAGCUUUCUUUGGAGAUAGUAGGGUGUGAUAUUAGCGCAGUCAGACAAGUAAUAUUAUGGAGGAUUGUCUUGUGAUUGUGGUGCAACUUCCUCUAGUCGUGGAUAAGCCUUAGUAGCAGCGUCUUUAGCAUUUUCUCUGACCCUUACAACACUUGGUGGCAGUUGGCCUUAGGAAUUGGUUGUGACGCGAAUGAUGCUUUGGGCAUUCAUAAUCUUCGGGAAUAGAAUCAAGAGAAGUUCUGUAACCAGAUUAGUCUAAUUUGAAUUGGCUUUGAAACUUCAAUUGAAGGAAGAUGGUGAGUUUAUAAAAAUGAGAGUGUGGAUGUGUGGUGUAAGAUCAUUGUUACAAUUUUUGUUGGAACAGUUGGCAUAAAGUUGCCUUGUCUCUUAUAGAAAAUGUAAUUACCUUGGAUUAGUUUCAGCAUGUUAGUGAAAUUGACUCUUGGCUUAAUACUUCUAUCGCGCUGUUUUGGGGAAUAUUGAGAAAGACAUGUAUUGUUUAAUAUACACAAAAAAACACAUUGGUAUUAUUGUUUUAAAGUUUUAAUAUUACUUAAUACUUAUUAUUAAUCUUGUUAUUAUACCCUUUAGCUGCUUUGAAGGAAAUGUGAUGAGAAGGUCAUGAAGUAUCUUAGAAGAGCAGUAAAGUAUUUGGUGGUUAAGGUCAAGGACAAAGUAGUGAAGUUUGAAUUACCUAGAGAGUCAUCUUUCUCAUUUAGAGAGAGUGAAGUUAGGAACAAUGCAAUCCAAUUUCAGCGGCGAAGUUAGAAGGUUCUUAAGGAAAGGUUGUCAUAGAUACUUGACUUUGGGUAAAAGGAUACUCAAGCAGCUGGAAAGAAAAAAUAGAAGAAAUAGUGUGCGACUUUGUGAUGAAUUUCUUGAUGUACUAAUCAAUAGACAAUAGGCGAAUAGAGUUUUCCAUAAAAAUUGGUUCCUAAUACCAAUCUUGUUUGUGGAGAAGCAAAGAGAAACUGUGUAGUUAUGUGUUGACUACAGGCGGUUGGAGAAUGUGGCAAAAAAAAAAAUAGUACCUUAUAUAGAUGAGUUGUUGAUUGGUUGCAUGAGCUCAAUAGUUAGAAAAGAAAAUAUGACUUGUGAUCUAGGUACCAUCAAAGGAAUAUCAAGAAGGAUAUAAUUUAGUAGAAAACUUUCAGAAUAUGUUGUGACCAUAACGAGAUAUUAGUCAUGUUUUUGGAUUUAGUGAUGCCACUGUUGUUAUAUGGAUUUAAUGAGCUACAUCUUUAAAUCACUCUUGAAAUAUUUAGUGAUUGUACUUAUUGAUUAGUCUUGUAUAUUCCUAAGGAUAAGGAAAAACACUAGAAGCUUGUUGAUAAUAGAGUUUGGUUUGGGUUGCUUGUUUCAACUCAUUGUUGGCUCAUCUAAAAAUUCAUUCUAUUUUGGUUGAUGAUGUUGAAUAUGAUCAAGGUCAAGAUUCGUAGGUGACGAAGGUGGUAGAGGAUUUCUAAUGUGGAAAGGUUCCACGUUUAAAGGUAGACUCUCGAUGACAUUUUAUGACUUUGAUGUUGGUUGUGUUGUGUGAGCCUAAUACUAGUAUGAGGAGGAAAAUAACAUAGGAUGCUUAUCAUUAUUUUUUAAAAUCAUACAUUGGGUUUUAAUAAAAUGCAUUAGGAUAUGAAGAAAUUUUGUUUAUGGGAAAGAAUGAAGAAAGACAUCGAAAAUUGAUUUAUGAAUGUUCAGCAUGUUAGCAAGUGAAGGUUGAGCAUUAAAGCGAGUUAUGUUGCUUCAGUCUAUUAAGAUACCAUAGGGAAAAUGAGAAGGUGUUGUUUCGAACUUGGUGAGAGGUUUGCUUUGGAAUAUAAUGAGUUAUGAUUUUGUAUCAGUGAUUAUGGAUUAACUGGUUGAGCAUGAACACUUUCGCCUAUAAAAGUACUUACACUACAACAUUGUAUGGUUUACCUUGGUUGAGAUUGUUUGUUUGCAUGGUGUAAACUUGUUUAUAAUUUCAGAUCAAGGAGCUUAAUUGAAUGCAUUAUUUUAGAAGACUGUCAAAGUUGUUGUGGGGUCCCAUUUGAAUUUGGGUACAACUUUCUAUCCUUAAAUUGAUGGCUGAUUUAAGAGGAUUAUUCAGAUCUCGGAAGAUAUAUUUUGUGCAUGUGUUUUUAGACUUUAGAAGGAGUUGAGAGCAUAAUUUGUCUUUAACGAAGUUCGCUUAUAAUAGCAACUAUCAGCCUAGCAUUAAUAUUGUACAAUUUGAGGCUUUGUAUAUAUGGUAGGGGAUGUAGGAAUCGAUAGAUUAGUUGAAUAUGGAGAAACUAAACUUGUACGUCCAUACCCUAUCCAAGAUGCAAUAGAGAAAGUUAGACUAGUUUAGGUCAUUUGGGUACAGGUCAAGGUAAACAAAAUUAUUAUGUUGAUUGGAGGCCACACCCUUUUGAGUUUGCAGUUGGUGACCCUAUGUUUUAAGUGUUUUUAUGAUAAAAGAAGUGGUGCAGUUUGGUAAAAAGGGAAAUGAGUCCAUGAUUGAUUGAGUCAUUUGAUAUAUAGGAGUAGUUGGCCCUAUGAAUUAUUGAUUGACAUCUCUACCGAAUUUUAUAUAGUUCACAAAGUUUCAUGUUUAUAUGCUUCAGAAAUAUCUCUAUGAUCCUUCCCUCGUUGUUUGUAAUGAGAAUGUAUUGUUAGAUGAACCUUUAUCUUAUAUGGAGUUUAUGGUAGGAAUAGUGGAUAGAAAGGGUGAGAUGCCUACAUUCUAAGGACCUUGGUUUAAUGAUAGUACCCUGGCAAUGAACAAUUGGUGAAGAGAUGACUUUGAAACCAAGGUAGAGUGAUGCACAAGACUUUAAAAUUCGAGGACGAAUUUUUCUAAGGGGGGAAGAUUGAAACAACCCGUUUUAUAUAAUUAUAUUAUUAUUAGAAAAUUGGAAAAGAAAAAAAAAGGAUUCACUAAACCUAACUUACCCUAACCCACGUUGCAGCCCCACACCCCAAUUACCAUUGUCAAUUACAAAAACAAAAAGAAACCUAACAUCCCCUUCAAUCUUCCCCACGCAUGUUACGAUCUCCCCACACAUAACGUCUUCGCUAUCAAGAGCAGCAAAACUGUUUUCCCUGGACACACUCCAACCUCCAUCCUUCUUUAGUUGUGUCACGUUCAGAGGGGAGUUCAACAGUAGCACCCAAGCAUGGCAAAGAUUAUGCAUUGCAUUGUGCCGUAGUUGGAAGGUAUGUCUUAGAUGGAGAAGCCCUUGGCACAAAGAUCUGUUGUGGCCCGUUAAUUUCCCAUUGAUUUGGUGAGCUAUUGAGAAGAAUGGAGUUUUCUAUGAUUUGGUGAGGAAUAUUUUCCCUUGCAAUGUCUAGAACCGAUUGUUGUUCAAACCAAAUUGUUGCAGCGCAUGGAAGGAUACAAAGUCAUGGAAGGAUACAAUGUCAGAUAUAGAUGAUACACAAGAAAGAUGCAAAUGGAUGCAUUUGGAUUUAGCUGGUUCGAGUAUUAUGAUGUGGCUGGAGCAAUCCACUUGAUUCAUUAUAGUGGUUGAUUCAUUGUAGUGAUUCUUCAGCAGCUGAGUAACAAGUUGUUCCUGGAUUCAGAUUGUCAGUGGUCUUGCUGGUAGGCCUCCAUCAGCUGGUGGCCUCAUUGCUAUUUUAUUUCUCUUGAUUCUAGUUAUCUGCAGCUAUAGGGAGUCAUAGGUGAAUUUAGUUUGGGGUUGACUGUAUCUUUUAAUUUUAAAGGUUGACAUUGAACGUCGAAUUUUGGUUUUGUACCUUUUCUUGAAAUUUUGGAUUUUGGAGAAUAUUAUUUAGCAGGUUGUGUUAUUUUGAGAUUACUGAAAUACAGAGGAGACUUUGUCGUUUUUUUUAUAAAUUUAUGCGGACGUAUUUAUCAUGGCGAAUUGGUUAUAAAUGGGUUAUGUGUAAAAGGCUUGCCGGACUUGGGGUGAUAGUCCGUGCGCCGGUCACGGCUUGGGAUUUUUGGGUCGUGACAAGAGUAUAAGAAGGCUUCAGGUCAACUUGUUAACUUGGACAAGUCAGAAAUUUCUUUCAGCCGAAACGUGCCAGAAACCAGUAUGGAAACGAUCCGAGAUAGGAUGGGUGUAAAGGUUGUGACUAUCCAUGAUAAUUACCUGGGUCUCCCUACUGUUAUUGGACAUUCAAAGAAGGCAAUCUUUGGGAAGAUACAAGAAAGAGUUUGGAGGAAGCUCCAAGGGUGGAAAGAGAAGACACUAUC